AUUCCAGCUCCAAUAGCGUAUAUUAAAGUUGUUGCAGUUAAAAAGCUCGUAGUUGGAUUUCUGCCAGGGUGCCAAUGUCCGCCGAAGUGCGUGCGCAGCGGCGCCCUCGCAUCCUUCUGUUAACGCCUCUCGGCAUUUACUUGCCGGUGGUGGGCUCAGAUAAUUUACCUUGAGAAAAUUAGAGUGUUUCAGGCAGGCUAGGCCGGAAUACAUUAGCAUGGAAUAAUGGAAUAGGACUACGGUCUCGUUGUUGGUUUGAGGGACUGGAGUAAUGAUUAAUAGGGAUAGUUGGGGGUAUUCGUAUUUAAUUGUCAGAGGUGAAAUUCUUGGAUUUAUGAAAGACGAACUUCUGCGAAAGCAUCUACCAAAGAUGUUUUCAUCA
rnacentral:rRNA from 1 species